GGAAUAUUGGACAAUGGGCGCAAGCCUGAUCCAGCAACGCCGCGUGGGUGAAGAAGGCCUUCGGGUUGUAAAGCCCUUUCGACGGGGACGAUGAUGACGGUACCCGUAGAAGAAGCCCCGGCUAACUUCGUGCCAGCAGCCGCGGUAAUACGAAGGGUGCAAGCGUUACUCGGAAUUACUGGGCGUAAAGCGUGCGUAGGUGGUUCGUUAAGUCUGCCGUGAAAGCCCCGGGCUCAACCUGGGAAUGGCGGUGGAUACUGGCGGACUAGAGUGCGGUAGAGGGUGGUGGAAUUCCCGGUGUAGCAGUGAAAUGCGUAGAGAUCGGGAGGAACAUCUGUGGCGAAGGCGGCCACCUGGACCAGCACUGACACUGAGGCACGAAAGCGUGGGGAGCAAAC
rnacentral:rRNA from 1 species